AACGAACGCUGGCGGCAGGCUUAACACAUGCAAGUCGAGCGCCCCGCAAGGGGAGCGGCAGACGGGUGAGUAACGCGUGGGAAUCUACCCAUCUCUACGGAAUAACGCAUGGAAACGUGUGCUAAUACCGUAUACGUCCUUCGGGAGAAAGAUUUAUCGGAGAUGGAUGAGCCCGCGUUGGAUUAGCUAGUUGGUGGGGUAAAGGCCUACCAAGGCGACGAUCCAUAGCUGGUCUGAGAGGAUGAUCAGCCACACUGGACUGAGACACGGCCCAGACUCCUACGGGAGGCAGCAGUGGGGAAUAUUGGACAAUGGGCGCAAGCCUGAUCCAGCCAUGCCGCGUGAGUGAUGAAGGCCCUAGGGUUGUAAAGCUCUAUCACCGGUGAAGAUAAUGACGGUAACCGGAGAAGAAGCCCCGGCUAACUUCGUGCCAGCCGCCGCGGUAAAAC
rnacentral:rRNA from 1 species